GAGAGCUGUGGGGUUGUUGGCUUGAAUAAAUAAUAUGGGCUGUGACUUUAAAAAAUUAUGAUCCUUCAGGCAAGUUUAAAUGGGAUGUGAUGAGUGGUCAUUACUCGCAAUAAAUAUGCGAGAAGAGCGUUCCAGCCCAGCCUGGUUACGACAAAAUGGGCGCUCUUAUUAUUACCAAUCUGAUCCCUGUACUUGAAUCCCCUCCCCCCAACCAAAUAUUCCCUCCCAAAUAAUUAUUUUUUUGUUUCAAAGUAUUAAUUCUGUAUUCUUAUUUUUUCUUUGUUUUGUUUUCUUUUCAUUAUAAUCUUCUUCUCUACUUCUCUUUCACUAGUAAUUUUCUAAAAUAGAUUUUUAUUAUGUUAAGAAAAGACAUUAAUCUUUUUUCAUGUUUUAUCUUCAAGUAUUUAAUGUUGAGCGCAAAAAACAUAGAAAAAAAUUUAUUAUCUUUUAUUGAUAUGUUAAAAUGAUGAGUAAAAUUUAUUUUAGAAAUAAGUGAUAAGUAAAAGUGAACAAAAAGAAUAUCUUUAAAAUCAUUUUAUCAAGACAUGCUUAGUCGGAAACAAUAUAUGGUAAAAUACCUUAUCAAUAAUAAUUUUUUUAAUGAAUGUCAAAUCAGAGUAAAACAAGUAAAAAUGAAUAGAGGAAAUAUCAUUUUAAGCCCACCUCUCUUAAUAUACACAGUAAUUCUAGGCAUAUUACAAGCCCUAUUUUUUUCUAUGAAUCAAGUGUGCUAAAUUACACAUCAAUAGCCCUCUACUACUCAUUCCACUAAGGGCUCGUUUGCUGUGAGGGAUUAAAAAUAAUAGUGAUGGAAUUAAAAAGUUUUAUGUUAUUUGAUUGUCAAGGUUUGGAAUAACUUAUCCCACCAUUUAUAUAUCAUAAUGAUGAGAUAAGUUAUUUCAUAUAACAUGGUUAGAUAUUGGAUAAGUUAUGCCAGAAUAGCUAACUUCAGAAUAAGUUAUCGUGAGCUAAUUUGUUUUCAACCAAACGCCCCUAAAUUCCAUAAAGCUCAUUAAAUCAUUUUCUUCUGUCUACUAAUAUUAAUAAACAGGGAUAGUUGCAUUGCAAACUUAAUAAGUGUUUGUAAUGUACAAGUAGUUACUCCCACAAUUCCCUAAAGAACUAGUUUCAACUUUUAAGAAACUCAAAGUAAUAAAAUUAGAAAAGAAAGGGAAAAAGGUAACUUAUAGGGUAGGAUGAUGAAAUGAAUAAAAUUUAGGGAACAUUAGCGAUUAAGUUAUAAUAUCUAACAUAAUUAUUCAAAAUAACAACACUUUAAAAUAUUUAUUUAAAAUGUCUGGAUGACAGUAUUUUAGAAAAUAAUGUGUAUUCAAAUUUUAUCAUUUAAAAUUAUUUUUAUUUAUGAAACAAGUCCUCGGAAAAAAUUAUAAAUCAAUAGAAAAAAAAACAAUACCCAUUAACCUUCCUUUACCUCUCACGUUUUUACCCCACCUUUCACGUUUUCAGAUUAUCUCUCUCCAACGUGCUCACAAAUUGUUCAUCAAAAUAUAUAUUUUAAUUCAAGAAAUUUUCUUGAUUGUUAAACGAAUUUUUUUUAUAAUUCAAGAGACUUCUCUCGAUUGGCAAGGUAAUUUCCAUUAUUUCAAAUUUUGUUUAUGGGGUUACUAAUGCACAAGUAAAUACGGGUUCAGAUCCGAUUUUGAUGAAAAUAAUCGAAAAAAAGAACAUAGCCGGAGAAGGAGAAGAAGAAGGAGGUUGCAAAAUUGUAUUCAUACCAAAAUUAUAUUCAUAUUAAUUAUUGUUUGUCAAUUGUUAUUAUUUUACUCAUCAUUUGUAUUUUUAUUUUAAAUCAUUAUAUUUCUUUUUUAGUUUUUAGUCAUUCAAAUAGGUAAAUAUUGUAUUUAUACAUAAUUUAUAGAACUGUGACGAAUAUAUUAUAAGAAGGGAAAUAGAAACUUAUUGGUAUUCAUUUUUUCGUUUGAAAUACAAAUCAUACUAAUAUUUGAAAUACAUUUUAGUAAGAGAUGUUUUGUAUUUUAUUUGGCUAAAAGCAAUAUAACUUUUAUGAAUACAUGAUGUAUAAAAUUACUACGAAUACAUCACAAGAAGGGAAAUAUAAAAUUAUUGGUAUUCAUUUUGCAUUUGAUAUACAAAAUGAUAUUGAAACAUGACCUGAUAUUUAAAAUAAAAACUGAGCUAGAAAAUACUUUAUGCAAAUUUAAAGUGGAAUAAUAAUAUAAAAAAAUUGGAUAUUGAAAUAUAAAUAUAAUUUAUUUUGAAUACAACUUAUUCUAUGUAUUGUGUAUUCAUCGCAAUUGUAUUCUUCUAUGGAACUAAAUAUCCCACACUGGAUAAUGAAUAGAGUUGUGGGGUUGGUGGCUUAAUAAAUAAUGUAGGCUGUGGGUUUUAGAAAUUAUGAUCCUUCAGGCAAGUUUUAAUGGAUGUGAUGAGUGGUCAUAACUCGCAAUAAAAAUGCGAGAAGAGCGUUCCAGCCCAGCCUGGUUACGACAAUUUGGGCGCUCUUAAUUUUACCAAUCUGAUCCUUGUGCUUGAAAUCCCCCGCACCCCAUCCCCAUACAUCCCUCCCAAACCUUUUUUUUUUCUUUCAAGCAUUUGUUUUCUUUCCAUUAUAAUCUUCAAUAUUAUGGCAUUGCUUGUUACCUCCGUUCACUUUUAUUUAUUAUUUCUAAAAUUAUAUUUAAAAAAGACAUUAACUUCAAGUAUUU
rnacentral:lncRNA from 1 species